GAUUCCGGAAGAUGUCGCAGUUUUCUGACUGCAAGAGCUUGAAGCCCACCGCGAGGUGAUGGUUCUCCAACACUGACAUGUCAUUGUACAUCAGCGCCAGCUCCGAGUCUAUGGGAACAGCCGAGGCCUCGGGACCCCACUCCACCCAAAGACAGCUGGGGUGGGGACGUCACUAGCCAACUCCUAAGUAUGCGGUGAAGCCCAAACUCUAAUGCCGCUUCAUGCAUGCAGAAAGCCAUCCAAGCCCCGGACACGCCUCUGAGUCUGCACGCUAGGGUGGUCCAGGCUGUCUUGAGCAGCUGUUUAUGGUCACCUCACUCACUGGUGUUGAUGAGAAACUGAUUGGAGACGCCCGGGUGGUCCACGUCAUGGAUAGCGCAUGCAAAGAUAGCCGCCAAGACUUCCAGAUCUGUGAACACAGCCUGGGCAGGUCCGGGGCGUCAGGGCCGAGGGUGGCACUCUUCCCUGCGCCCACCCACUGUCCUCAGCCGGGCAUGGUACCUCCAGGGCAGGGGUGCCCAGCAACACGUGCGCGGACUGGGCCACGUCCGCGGCGUGCACACUGUUGUGGUACGGCACGUCAGCAUGGUAGUGAGCCUCCAGCGUGAGCAGGAACGUCAGCAGCGUGUCCGCCGGAAUCUGGAACGUCUUGAGCAGGGAAGAACUGAGGACCGAACGUCCCGGGGAGGCACCUGGAAGACGCUGAACAUGACGGCUGUGAGCGGCUGGUUCCCGCUCAGCUCAGCCACUUUGAACACAUCAAGUCCCCACUUGUUGGUGUCUUCAAGUUCCUACGAGUGACCAGGUAGCGUCAGCGGCUCCACUGUCGCCGGCUGCCCAGUGUCCAGGGAGGAAAACUGAGGCCUGUAGCUCUGGGGAGACCGACCUUAGCCAGCUGCGCCUCCUGGUCUGUCUGGACCCCGAAGCGGGGGACGGCAGUUGUGGGGAGGCUGGCGGGGCGGGGCCCGCGCAGGGCACUGAUCCGGGACAUGGGCGGUGUGUCCUCCGUGGGCAGCCUGGGAAGCUCCACCUCCGCCGGCUGGUCUGCAGGGGACGGGUGGCUCACUCUCACAAGUUCUGGUUCUAGCAGGAUCCCAGCCCACCUGUUCCCUCGGUCAGCAGCUCAUCUGCAGGCUUCCUUUGUGACUUGAGUCACAGGUUCCCCAAACUCAUGCUUCAGAACACUACCUGCCAUGUCCUCUCCCCCCGAAAGUGUUCCUGUUCAUCUCUUUCCUUCAGCCCUGACCAACUGUGUUGGGUGAGAUCUCCUUCUCCUCCACACAAGGGUUGUAAUGGUGUCUGCUUGCCCUCCUUCAGGAGGUUGCCCAGGCGGCUCACCCAGGAAGGUCUGGGAGAUGUACUCCGACACCUGGUUCCCUGAGCGGCUGGUUUCCGACAGAUGGGUCAACUCGCGGUUGAGAAUGCGCUUGAACUGUGGAGCAGGGAGGGUGGCAGGGAGGACGAUGAGCAGGGAGGAGGAUGAGCAGGGAGGGGGACGAGCAGGUUUGCUGUGUCCUCACCUUGUUGGAUGCCAUCUCUCCCACAGAGCGCCGCGUCUGUAGUGUCUCCAACUGCUCCAGGCACCAGUCCAGCUCCUCCAGCGUCUCCUGCGCCAGCUGCAGCCCAGCGUCCUCUGGAGGCCAAGCGGAUCAGGGAGGGACCGCCAGUGGAGAGCCUGUGCCCCUCCAUCUCCGCACCCCAACCCUUGGAGCCCCGGGUCACGGUUCCACAGCUCCCGCGAGUGCUGUGAGACAGGCCAACAACCCUCUCUAGCCUGUAACUUGUGCGGGAGGGUGGCAGGGAACGGACUCGGACUCCGUGCAAAGGUGGGUUUGGGGGUAAGCCGGCUUACAAUGAGCUGCUGCAGUAGUCCAAGGGCAGGCUGAGAGACUCCAACAGCUGCCCUCGGGGUGGAAGUGGGGGUGCAUACCUGUGGUGGCGGCCAGCUGGCUGCCACACGGAGGGGUCCCCAAGAGUGGCUGCCUGCGCGGACAGGACGUCAGAGGGGGCCCACCUCUCCAGACUCAUCCAAACCCCCAUUCUCCCCACCCUUGUACCCCAAGCACCCAAAGCAUAGCACACCUUCAGGCCCCGUCCCUCCGCCACCCUCUCAGUACCUGGUGGUGCUGCCUGGGCUCUGGGCAAGGGCGGCCACGUUGCUGCGGACCGUUCUGAGGCUGGCCAGAACCUGCCGUGAGCAAGGAAGGCCACCAGUGAGGACAUCUGCUGGCUUUAGAGAGCCCUCCUCUAAUGAUUCCUGACUCGGGCCUUCAGGUUCUGGCUCUCCCAGAGAAAACUACAACCUCUCCAACCAAUCCUCCAGGUUAUCCACAUCUAAAAUGGGGAAACUGAGUCCUAAUGACAGUAGGGGUCUAAGAGUCAGGACAGAAGUAACUGUUUCCCUUCUCGUCACAGCUACUAGGGAGCUCAAAUAAAAGUAUUAGUGCAGCUGCUGCUAAUUGACCUUACUGUUCACGGAUUAAUGUGUCACUCUGUCCCCAACAGACCAUUGAUAUUCACUAUAUGCUGGAUGUUAACA